rnacentral:rRNA from 1 species
CAGUAGCCACGGGAAUACAGAGGGUGCGAGCGUUAAUCGGAUUUACUGGGCGUAAAGCGUGCGUAGGCGGCUUCUUAAGUCGGAUGUGAAAUCCCUGAGCUUAACUUAGGAAUUGCAUUCGAUACUGGGAAGCUAGAGUAUGGGAGAGGAUGGUAGAAUUCCAGGUGUAGCGGUGAAAUGCGUAGAGAUCUGGAGGAAUACCGGUGGCGAAGGCGGCCCCCUGGACAAAGACUGACGCUCAGGUGCGAAAGCGUGGGGAGCAAACAGGAUUAGAUACCCCUGUAGUCCCUGUCUCUUAUAC